rnacentral:rRNA from 1 species
GACGAACGCUGGCGGCGUGCUUAACACAUGCAAGUCGAACGGAAAGGCCCUGCUUUUGUGGGGUGCUCGAGUGGCGAACGGGUGAGUAACACGUGAGUAACCUGCCCUUGACUUUGGGAUAACUUCAGGAAACUGGGGCUAAUACCGGAUAGGAGCUCCUGCUGCAUGGUGGGGGUUGGAAAGUUUCGGCGGUUGGGGAUGGACUCGCGGCUUAUCAGCUUGUUGGUGGGGUAGUGGCUUACCAAGGCUUUGACGGGUAGCCGGCCUGAGAGGGUGACCGGCCACAUUGGGACUGAGAUGCGGCCCAGACUCCUACGGGAGGCAGCAGUGGGGAAUAUUGCACAAUGGGCGGAAGCCUGAUGCAGCAACGCCGCGUGCGGGAUGACGGCCUUCGGAUUGUAAACCGCUUUCGCCUGUGACGAAGCGUGAGUGACGGUAAUGGGUAAAGAAACACCGGCUAACUACGUG